rnacentral:rRNA from 1 species
UACGUAGGUGGCAAGCGUUUGUCCGGAAUUAUUGGGCGUAAAGCGCGCGCAGGCGGUCCUUUAAGUCUGAUGUGAAAGCCCCCGGCUCAACUGGGGAGGGUCACGCGAUACUGCUCGACUCGAAGGCAGGAGAGGGAAGUGGAAUUCCCGGUGUAGUGGUGAAAUGCGUAGAUAUCGGGAGGAACACCAGUGGCGAAGGCGACUUCCUGGCCUGUUCUUGACGCUGAGGCGCGAAAGCUAGGGUAGCAAACGGGG